UACAGAGGGUGCGAGCGUUGUCCGGAAUCACUGGGCGUGAAGGGCGCGUAGGCGGCUCGGUCAGCGUGCGGUGAAAGCCCGGGGCUCAACCCCGGGUCGGCCGUGCGAACUGCUGGGCUGGAGCACUGUAGAGGCAGGUGGAAUUCCGGGUGUAGCGGUGGAAUGCGUAGAGAUCCGGAAGAACACCGGUGGCGAAGGCGGCCUGCUGGGCAGUAGCUGACGCUGAGGCGCGACAGCGUGGGGAGCAAACAGG
rnacentral:rRNA from 1 species